GUGCUCACUUUGGCAGCACACACAUUAAAAUUGGAAUGGCCAGAGAAGAUGAGCAUGGCUCCUGUGCAAGGAUGACAAGCAAAUUCAUGAAACAUUCCAUAUUUUU
ensembl:snRNA U6 U6 spliceosomal RNA